rnacentral:rRNA from 1 species
GACGAACGCUGGCGCCGUGCUUAACACAUGCAAGUCGAACGGAAAGGCCCUGCUUUUGUGGGGUGCUCGAGGGGCGAACGGGUGAGUAACACGUGAGUAACCUGCCCUUGACUUUGGGAUAACUUCAGGAAACUGGGGCUAAUACCGGAUAGGAGCUCCUGCUGCAUGGUGGGGGUUGGAAAGUUUCGGCGGUUGGGGAUGGACUCGCGGCUUAUCAGCUUGUUGGUGGGGUAGUGGCUUACCAAGGCUUUGACGGGUAGCCGGCCUGAGAGGGUGACCGGCCACAUUGGGACUGAGAUACGGCCCAGACUCCUACGGGAGGCAGCAGUGGGGAAUAUUGCACAAUGGGCGGAAGCCUGAUGCAGCAACGCCGCGUGCGGGAUGACGGCCUUCGGGUUGUAAACCGCUUUCGCCUGUGACGAAGCGUGAGUGACGGUAAUGGGUAAAGAAGCACCGGCUAACUACGUG